GCUUGGCAGCCCACUCCCUCCUCACUUGCUCUCAUUUCCCACUCUCCACUCCUCUCCACUCCUCUCCUUUGCCUCAUUUCUUUUCACUCCCUACUAUUUCCUCCACUCCCUCACACUCUCCUCCUCCACUUCCCCACGAAAAUGGUGCUCCCCUUGCUCCCAUGGCCGGCCAUGGCCAUGGAAAGCCACCAAGAUGAAGCUCCCUUCCUCCCUCAAGCUCAUCCUCACCAUGAGAGCCUCCCCCUCCAUCUUCUCCCCAACCUUAGAUGGUUUAAUCUCCUCUUCUUCUCCCUCCAUUGCUAAGAUUGGAUCUUGAUGCAGGUGCAUGUUGGUCCAAGCAUGGAGAAGGUUGAGCUAUCCUCAGAUCUGAAGUUCUUGAGCAAAAUCCAAAUCGAGUGGUUCAAAGUUCUACAGAUAGAUCAAAAUCUGGUCAGAUCUGACUUUGUCGAAUUAAACCAGGAGCUUGGAGACGAAUUUUUGAAUGAAACCAACUGGAUGCGAACAAUUCCGGAGAAGAAGAACAAGUGGAAUCGGAUGAGAAGAUUUUAUUUAUAUUGUUGGGAUUGUUAUAUUGAUGGAGUUGAAGAAGUACAGGGACAAAUAAGCCAAGAUCAAAAUCUGGUCAGAUCUGACUUUGUCGAAUUAAACCAGGAGCUUGGAGACGAAUUUUUGAAUGAAACCAACUGGGGGUACUUAGCUUGUGCCAUGGUGAUACCGAGAGAGGCAAUUGCUAAGUUGUGAUACUCUCAUACCUUUACUAGAUGCGAACAAUUCCGGAGAAGAAGAACAAGUGGAAUCGGAUGAGAAGAUUUUAUUUAUAUUGUUGGGAUUGUUAUAUUGAUGGAGUUGAAGAAGUACAGGGACAAAUAAGCCAAGACUUGAAGGAGUUCGACAGAUGAAGAAGGAGUUGGCGACGUCUAUGCGAGCUAGGAACGUCUUCCCAGUCAGUUGCCUGUAGGGUU